rnacentral:snRNA from 1 species
UUUCUCGAUCCAGUACAUUUAACCGAGAAAAUCUUUCGCCUUUUACUAAAGAUUUCCGUGCACCGGAGGCUUCUUGAGUAUUUCCCAAUUCUCGGAAUCUCCUCGAAAGAGCGGGAU